rnacentral:rRNA from 1 species
GACGAACGCCGGCGGCGUGCCUAAUACAUGCAAGUAGAACGCUGAAGGAGGAGCUUGCUUCUCUGGAUGAGUUGCGAACGGGUGAGUAACGCGUAGGUAACCUGCCUGGUAGCGGGGGAUAACUAUUGGAAACGAUAGCUAAUACCGCAUAAUAGCAGUUAUUGCAUGAUAACUGUUUGAAAGGUGCAAUUGCACCACUACCAGAUGGACCUGCGUUGUAUUAGCUAGUUGGUGGGGUAACGGCUCACCAAGGCGACGAUACAUAGCCGACCUGAGAGGGUGAUCGGCCACACUGGGACUGAGACACGGCCCAGACUCCUACGGGAGGCAGCAGUAGGGAAUCUUCGGCAAUGGACGGAAGUCUGACCGAGCAACGCCGCGUGAGUGAAGAAGGUUUUCGGAUCGUAAAGCUCUGUUGUAAGAGAAGAACGAGUGUGAGAGUGGAAAGUUCACACUGUGACGGUAUCUUACCAGAAAGGGACGGCUAACUACGUG